CAUUGUUGCUGUUAUUGUCUGUUCGUUUAUCGAUUUUGAACUGUUCUUUGUCUGCAAUGCUUGGGAACAUUAAGGCCUUCUGUGAUGAAACCCAAUCAGACUUUGAACCGGUCUUUGUCUGCAAUGCUUGGGAACAUUGAGGCCUUCUGUGAUGAAACCCAAUCAGG